UACGUAGGAUCCGAGCGUUGUCCGGAUUUACUGGGCGUAAAGCGUGCGCAGGCGGUUGUGCAAGACAGAUGUGAAAUCCCCGGGCUUAACCUGGGAAUUGCAUUUGUGACUGCACGGCUAGAGUGUGUCAGAGGGGGGUAGAAUUCCACGUGUAGCAGUGAAAUGCGUAGAUAUGUGGAGGAAUACCGAUGGCGAAGGCAGCCCCCUGGGAUAACACUGACGCUCAUGCACGAAAGCGUGGGGAGCAAACAGG
rnacentral:rRNA from 1 species